UACGUAGGGUGCAAGCGUUGUCCGGAAUUAUUGGGCGUAAAGAGCUCGUAGGCGGUCUGUUACGUCGGCUGUGAAAACCUGGGGCUCAACCCCGGGCCUGCAGCCGAUACGGGCAGACUAGAAUUCGGUAGGGGAGACUGGAAUUCCUGGUGUAGCGGUGAAAUGCGCAGAUAUCAGGAGGAACACCGGUGGCGAAGGCGGGUUUCUGGGCCGAUAUUGACGCUGAGGAGCGAAAGCGUGGGGAGCGAACAGG
rnacentral:rRNA from 1 species